CAGCAGCCGCGGGAAUACGGAGGGUGCAAGCGUUAUCCGGAUUCACUGGGUUUAAAGGGUGCGUAGGUGGGCAGGUUAGUCAGUGGUGAAAUCCCCGGGCUUAACCCGGAGACUGCCGUUGAUACUAUCUGUCUUGAAUAUAGUGGAGGUGAGCGGAAUAUGUCAUGUAGCGGUGAAAUGCUUAGAUAUGACAUAGAACACCGAUUGCGAAGGCAGCUCACUAAACGCUCAUUGACGCUGAGGCACGAAAGCGUGGGGAUCAAACAGGAUUAGAUACCCCCGUAGUCCCUGUCUCUUUAUA
rnacentral:rRNA from 1 species